GACGAACCGUGCGAACGUUGUUCGGAAUCACUGGGCUUAAAGGGCGCGUAGGCGGGCAGGCAAGUCCGGGGUGAAAGCCCACGGCUCAACCGUGGAAGCGCCUUGGAUACUGCCGGCCUCGAGGGAGGUAGGGGCGUGCGGAACUUCCGGUGGAGCGGUGAAAUGCGUAGAUAUCGGAAGGAACACCGGUGGCGAAAGCGGCGCGCUGGACCUCUUCUGACGCUGAGGCGCGAAAGCCAGGGGAGCAAAGCGGG
rnacentral:rRNA from 1 species